UUAUCGGCUAUGAAAAGGGAUAGUAGGCUUUUUGGAUUUUUCAGAGAGAAGAUGGUUGGUGAAAAUCUUUAAUGAAAAAGGGCUGAACCCACCUUUGAGCUAUGAACCCAACGAUUAUUCAAGUAGGCUUCAUCGCAUUUCCUGCGUUAAAAGGAAAAGCAUUGAGUGCAGAAGAUUUCUUCUGAAAUUAGGUGGUACCGCGGUUUGUAUAUUCGCCCUAAGU
rnacentral:ncRNA from 1 species